rnacentral:rRNA from 1 species
UACGAAGGGGGCUAGCGUUGCUCGGAUUGACUGGGCGUAAAGCGCGCGCAGGCGGCUAUCCAAGUCAGUGGUGAAAGCCCGGAGCUCAACUCCGGAACUGCCAUUGAAACUGUUUAGCUUGAGGAUGAGAGAGGUGAGUGGAAUUCCCAGUGUAGAGGUGAAAUUCGUAGAUAUUGGGAAGAACACCGGUGGCGAAGGCGGCGCUCUGGACCGAGACUGACGCUGAGGCGCGAAAGCGUGGGGAGCAAACAGG